AUGUAGCUCAGUGGUAGAGCUCUUGCUUAGCAUGUGCCAAGUCCUGGGUUCAAUUCCCAGUAU
rnacentral:tRNA from 1 species